GAUGAAGAACGUAGUAAAAUGCGAUAAGUAGUGUGAAUUGCAGAAUUCAGUGAAUCAUCGAAUCUUUGAACGCACAUUGCGCCCCUUGGUAUUCCAUGGGGCAUGCCUGUUCGAGCCUCAUUUGUACCUUCAAGCUUUGCUUGGUGUUGGGUGUUUGUCCAUUCUCUUGCAGAGGGACUCGCCUUAAAGUAAUUGGCAGCCAGUGUUUUGGUUUUGAAGCGCAGCACAAGUCGCGAUUCAAAGCUAUACGCCCGCUUCCACAAGCCUUUUUCACUUUUGACCUCGGAUCAGGUAGGGAUACCCGCUGAACUUAAGCAUAUCAAUAAGCGGAGGA
rnacentral:misc_RNA from 1 species